rnacentral:rRNA from 1 species
GAUGAACGCUAGCGGCAGGCUUAAUACAUGCAAGUCGUGGGGCAGCAGUUCCGUAGCAAUACGGGAGCUGGCGACCGGCAAACGGGUGCGGAACACGUACACAACCUUCCUUUAAGUGGGGAAUAGCCCAGAGAAAUUUAGAUUAAUACCCCGUAACAUUAUGAAGUGGCAUCACUUUAUAACUAUAGCUCCGGAACUUAAUGAUGGGUGUGCGUCUGAUUAGGUAGUUGGCGGAGUAAUAGCCCACCAAGCCUACGAUCAGUAACUGGUGUGAGAGCACGACCAGUCACACGGGCACGAAGACACGGGCCCGACUCCUACGGGAGGCAGCAGUAAGUAAUAUUGGGCAAUGGACGCAAGUCUGACCCAGCCAUGCCGCGUGGAGGAUGAAGAUCCUCUGGAUCGUAAACUUCUUUUAUCUGGGAAGAAAUCCAUCUUUUCUUGGGUGGUUGACGGUACCAGAUGAAUAAGCACCGGCUAACUCCGUGCCAGCCGCCGCCGUAA